CUUGUGUCCAGGUUUAAAGGUGGCUGUCCUGUCCCAGACUUUCAGCCAGUAACCACCAUAGCACAUUCACGGUGAACCCCUCAUAUGUGGGUAGAUGCUUUAUGUAUCCUUGAAUGAAAGAACAUGUCUGGGUUGACAGAGGACUCACUGCUCACUGUGGAACAAUCACAGAUGGCUAUAUCUGACACAGACACACAGCAGGUUAUUCCUGAAGAAACAACCAGCCUGGUGGACUGGAUAAAAGGCACUAUGAGGCACAGCCCCACAAGAGCAACUGCAGAAUAAAGAGGCUGCCCGACCCCAGUCCCAUGGAGAAGACUUGAGCUUGCUGAAUUAUGGACAGCAGGUGUCACUUUCACUCCAAGACUGGGCUCCCACCACCACUGAGAAAUCCUCCCCAGAGACAGAAGAAAAUACAAACCUCAAAUACUGAUAUCUCUUUAAUACUUUCAUCAUUCAAGUUUGUUCAGAACAUUACAAGAGGCAUGAAAGAAAAAAUAAUUCCAUUUUUAAAACUCUGUCUGUCCAAAGUAUAACAUAUGAAACCAUGCCAUUAUCUCUUAGGAAACAAAAGCAUUCAAAAUUAAUUUGGUAUUAAAGUUCAAGAUUCAGAC
rnacentral:lncRNA from 10 species